rnacentral:rRNA from 1 species
UACGGGGGGGUAAGCGUUGUUCGGAAUUACUGGGCGUAAAGGGCUCGUAGGCGGCCAACUAAGUCAUACGUGAAAUCCCUCAGCUUAACUGGGGAACUGCGUCUGAUACUGGAUGGCUUGAGUUGGGAGAGGGAUGCGGAAUUCCAGGUGUAGCGGUGAAUGACGUAGAUAUCUGGAGGAACACCGGUGGCGAAGGCGGCAUCCUGGACCAACACUGACACUGAGGAGCGAAAGCCAGGGAGCAAACGG